rnacentral:rRNA from 1 species
GAUGAACGCUGGCGGCGUGCUUAACACAUGCAAGUCGAACGGAAAGGCUCCUGCUUGCUGGGGUACUCGAGUGGCGAACGGGUGAGUAACACGUGGGUGAUCUGCCCUGCACUUCGGGAUAAGCCUGGGAAACUGGGUCUAAUACCGGAUAGGACCACAUUUUGGAUGGUGUGGUGGAAAGUUUUUCGGUGUGGGAUGAGCUCGCGGCCUAUCAGCUUGUUGGUGGGGUACUGGCCUACCAAGGCGUCGACGGGUAGCCGGCCUGAGAGGGUGUACGGACACACUGGGACUGAGAGACGGCCCAGACUCGGAAGUGAGGCAGCAGGGGGGAAUAUUGGACAAUGGGAGAAAGCCUGAUGCAGCGACGCCGCGGGGGGGAUGAGGGCCUUUGGGGUGUAAGAUCCGUUCGAGAGGGACGAAGCGUUGUUGUGACGGUACCUAGAGAAGAAGCACCGGCUAACUACGUG